UACAACCACACCACGUUGAAACAUCAGUUCCCAUGCAAUCACCUAAGUUAAGCAAUACCGAGCCUAGUCAGUAUCCAGACGGGUGACAAUUUGGGAAUACUCGGUGCUGUUG